AUGAACGCUGGCGGCGUGCCUAAUACCUGCAAGUCGAGCGAACAGACGAGGAGCUUGCUCCUCUGACGUUAGCGGCGGACGGGUGAGUAACACGUGGAUAACCUACCUAUAAGACUGGGAUAACUUCGGGAAACCGGAGCUAAUACCGGAUAAUAUAUUUAACCGCAUGGUUCAAUAGUGAAAGACGGUUUUGCUGUCACUUAUAGAUGGAUCCGCGCCGCAUUAGCUAGUUGGUAAGGUAACGGCUUACCAAGGCAACGAUGCGUAGCCGACCUGAGAGGGUGAUCGGCCACACUGGAACUGAGACACGGUCCAGACUCCUACGGGAGGCAGCAGUAGGGAAUCUUCCGCAAUGGGCGAAAGCCUGACGGAGCAACGCCGCGUGAGUGAUGAAGGUCUUCGGAUCGUAAAACUCUGUUAUUAGGGAAGAACAAAUGUGUAAGUAACUAUGCACGUCUUGACGGUACCUAAUCAGAAAGCCACGGCUAACUACGUG
rnacentral:rRNA from 1 species